ACUGCUCAGUAACACGUAGCUAACCUAACCUUGAGUCAGGGAUAACCUCGGGAAACUGAGGCUAAUACCUGAUAGGAGAUUUUAUCUGGAAAGAUAUUUCUCAAAAAUUCGAGCUCAAGGAUGGGGCUGCGGCUGAUUAGGUUGUUGGUGGGGUAAUGGCCCACCAAGCCGAUGAUCAGUAGGGGCUCUUAGCGGAGUCGCCCCGAGAGGGAAUCUGAGACACUAUUCCCAGCUCUACGGAGUGCAGCAGUCGCGAAUCUUUUGCAAUGCACGAAAGUGUGACAAAGCGAACCAAAGUGCUUUCUGCACAAGAAAGCUUUUCUUCACUUUAAAAAGGUGGAGGAAUAAGGACUGGGUAAGACCGGUGCCAGCCGCCGCGGUAAUCCCGGCAGUCCAAGUUGCAGCCAACAUUAUUGGGUCUAAAACAUCCGUAGCUUGUUUAUUAAGUUUCUUGUGAAAUUCUGUGUCUCAAGCACAGAGCUUGCAAGAAAUACUGAUAAGCUUGAGACCGGUAGAUGUAGAGAGUACAUUCAAGGUAGUGGUAAAAUACGUUAAUCUUGAAUGGACUAACAAUUGGCGAAGGCACUCUGCAAGGACGGAUCUGACAGUGAGGGAUGAAGGCCAGGGGCGCAAAACGGAUUAGAUACCCGUGUAGUCCUGGCAGUAAACACUGCUCACUAAACAUCGGUCUCUCUUCGGGAGAAAUCGGUGCUGAAGCGAAGGCGAAGAGUGAGCUACCUGGGAAGUAUAGUCGCAAGAUCGAAACUUAAAGGAAUUGGCGGGGGAGCAC
rnacentral:rRNA from 1 species